rnacentral:lncRNA from 1 species
GUCACAGGCGGGGCCUCGGACCCCGCCCUCCGCCUUCCCCGGGAUUCCGUGCUGUGCGGGCCGGGCGCUGGCGUUGGAUUGAGAUUCAUGGACUAUCUGCCAUGCCCCAAACACCAGGCAGAGUGCUAAGGGGACACAAAGAUGAAUAAGAUGUGACCCCUGCUCUCUAGGAUCCUGUCGCAUAGAUGAAGAGAUAGAACAUAUCCAUAAAAAGAUAACUAAUGACCGACAUUGCGUGCUGCCGACACGUGUUAUGGUCCUGCGGGCUACAGAAAUUCAGAGGAGGAAGACAGAUGACUGCAGUGUGGCAGCUGCUCCUCGGGCACUUACAGGAGCUUGUUAGGAUGAGGACAGAAGACUUCAUAGCACAGAGGGAACUGUGACACCAGCUUUAUAUCACACGAUAGAAAAUACCCAGUUCUGUGAGUUGACUGGGCAUUCUGCAUCACAAGGUGUGGCUGGGCACUGGAACAGCCGAAGUCACCUGGGAGCUGACUGGGUUGGACUGUCCAGGAUGGUUCACUCCUACGACAGUGGAUGCUCAACUGGGGCUGUCAACUGGAGCCCCCAUAGGUAACAUCUCCCAGCAUGGCAGCUCUGUUCCAAGAGGGAGUGCCGCAUGAGAAUCAGGAAGCAGCUGCAAGGUUCCUCAUGGUUUUGCCUUACAAGACACCCAGAGUUGUUUCAGCCUCAUUCUGUUUGUCAACAGGUCACUGUUUCAAGGAGGAGGGGAACUAGACUCCAGCUCUUGAUGAAAGCAGUGAUAAGGAAUUUGCAGUUCUAGUUGAUCUACUGCAGCUUUCAUGGUGUUUUUUCCAUAUACUGAUUAUAUAAUAGUAUUUGUCACCUUUUGCCAAGCGCCACGUAUUACAAUUAAGUGUCUCUUUAUCUCACAGGCUAGAUUUUCAACUUCUGGUGAGAGAUUGCAUUUUUUUUUUUUUUUUUUUUUUUGAGACAGAGUUUUGCUGUGUCACCCAGGCUAGAGUGCAGCGAUCUCGGCUCACUGCAACCUCCGCUCCCGGGUUCAAGCGAUUCUUCUGCCUCAGCCUCCCGGGUAACUGGGAUUACAGGUGCCUGCCACGCCCGGCUAAUUUUCGUAUUUUUAGUAGAGACAGGGUUUCACCAUCUUGGCCAGGCUGGUCUCGAACUCCUGACCUCAUGAUCCACCCACCUUGGCCUCCCAAAGUGCUGGGAUUACAGGUGUGAGCCACUGCGCCCGGCCGAGAGAUUGCAUUUUAUUUAACCCAAUUCUUUCAGUGACAUAGCUAUAAUAACAAUAAAGAUGUAUUAAGUUCCUCUACCAUGUGUUUGAUCCCAUCUAAUUGAACACAUGAUCUUAUCUCAUCCCUACCCUGAUAGAAUAGACGUCUCAUUUUCCAGAUUGGGAACUGAGGCACAGAAAGAUUCAGCUUUGCCCAAAAACCACAUAAUGGACAAGUGGCAGAGCCAGGAUUUGAACCACUUAAGAGCCUGUGUUUUUAUUCUCUCUCUUCUAGUGCCAUCUCACAGUCUUGGCACCAUCUUAGUAGCUUCAGGCUGCUAUAAAAAGUUACCAUAGGCUGGAUGGCUUAAGCAACAGACAUUUAUUUCUCAUGCUUAUGGAGGCUGGGAAGUUCAGGAUCCAGGUGGAGGCUGACCCCAUGUCUUUCUGGGAGGUCCAGCUGCUCCUGGACCAGAUAGUGCCAACACAAUACUUCUCAUUGUGUUAUGAUUGCCUACAGCAGGUGAAGGCCUGCUUCCUGUUUUCCAGAUGGCCGUCUUCUCAUUGUAUCUUAACAUGGUGGAAGGAGAAUGAGAAAGCUCGCUUGUGUCUCUUUUUAUAAGGGCACUAAUCCAGACGCGGAGGGCUCACCUUUACAACAGCUAAACCUGAUCACCCCCCAGAGGCCCCAUCUCCAAAUACCAUCACAUUGGGGAUUGUGCUUUGACAUAUGAAUGUGGGAGGACACGAGCAUUCAGUCCAUAACAGGCACCAAGGCACCAAGUCAGUCUGCACAAGUGUGUCGCUGGGCAGAAGAACAAAAGAGAAGGAAGAAGAAAGAACACAGUACAGAAAGUGAGUGGCGGUACCACAAAGAGUCAUCAGCAAGUGCUGAUGGUGGCUCCGGCCAGCACAUUCCAAGCAUCCUUGGGUAGCCUGAUAAAUGGAGUGCAGAAUGUUCGGUAGCUCUGCAAGGAGUGGGAGUAUUUAUUGGGUCUGAGUGCUUGAUGCGAAACUUUCCUCCAAAGUUCCAAUUUUCUAUCCGCCAAGAUAAGUGAUGGAGGUUUAUGGUUCAUGUUGUAGCACAUCCACCCAGGCCAAGGACCUACAACUCUGAAUUUCUGGCCUGCCUCCUUCCAGCUAGAAGUGAAUCUAGAUUUACAUGCCAUCAGGAACAAGCAUCGUCUUCCUGUUCUGUGAGUUCCUAGUUGUAGUAGGUACUGCUUUCAUCCUGAGAAUAUCAAUCUACAUGCACAAGGUCCCUCUCUGUGGAGGAGUAGGUACUUAAACCCAAGAUAAGUGGAAACUUUAUAUCCAAGGAGACAGAAAAUAAAAUUUCAGUAUGUUUUAUAUUAAACAACUUAUUAUACUUCUAUCCUUUUAUGAACAUAAGGUCAUCAGUAGGCCAAAAGUCUGAAAACAGUCUCAGUUCCUCAAUGUGAAUGCAAACCAUUAGUGCAAAAAAAAAAAAAAAA